rnacentral:rRNA from 1 species
UACGUAGGGUGCAAGCGUUGUCCGGAAUUACUGGGCGUAAAGCGUGCGCAGGCGGUCUUUUAAGUCAGAUGUGAAAUCCCCGGGCUUAACCUGGGAACUGCGUUUGAAACUGGAAGGCUUGAGUGUGGCAGAGGGGGGUGGAAUUCCACGUGUAGCAGUGAAAUGCGUAGAGAUGUGGAGGAACACCGAUGGCGAAGGCAGCCCCCUGGGCUAACACUGACGCUCAUGCACGAAAGCGUGGGGAGCAAACAGG